rnacentral:rRNA from 1 species
UACGGGAGGCAGCAGUGGGGAAUAUUGCACAAUGGGCGAAAGCCUGAUGCAGCUAUGCCGCGUGUAUGAAGAAGGCCUUAGGGUUGUAAAGUACUUUCAUCGGGGAGGAAAAAACAAAACUAAUAAUUUUAUUUCUUGACGUUACCCGAAAAAGAAGCACCGGCUAACUCCGUGCCAGCAGCCGCGGUAAUACGGAGGGUGCUAGCGUUAAUCAGAAUUACUGGGCGUAAAGAGCACGUAGGUGGUUUUUUUAAGUCAGAUGUGAAUCCCUGGGCUUAACCUAGGAACUGCAUUUUGAAACUGAAAUACUAGAGUAUCGUAGAGGGAGGUAGAAUUCUAGGUGUAGCGGUGAAAUGCGUAGAUAUCUGGAGGAAUACCUGUGGCGAAAGCGGCCUCCUAAACGAAUACUGACACUGAGGUGCAAAAGCGUGGGGAGCAAACAGGGAUUAGAUACC